AUACGGAGGAUCCGAGCGUUAUCCGGAUUUAUUGGGUUUAAAGGGAGCGUAGGUGGAUUGUUAAGUCAGUUGUGAAAGUUUGCGGCUCGACCGUAAAAUUGCAGUUGAAACUGGCAGUCUUGAGUACAGUAGAGGUGGGCGGAAUUCGUGGUGUAGCGGUGUAAUGCUUAGAUAUCACGAAGAACUCCGAUUGCGAAGGCAGCUCACUAGACUGUUACUGACACUGAUGCUCGAAAGUGUGGGUAUCAAACAGGAUUAGAUACCCUGGUAGUCCACACAGUAAACGAUGAAUACUCGCUGUUUGCGAUAUACAGUAAGCGGCCAAGCGAAAGCAUUAAGUAUUCCACCUGGGGAGUACGCCGGCAACGGUGAAACUCAAAUGAAUUGACGGGG
rnacentral:rRNA from 1 species